rnacentral:rRNA from 1 species
AUUGAACGCUGGCGGCAGGCCUAACACAUGCAAGUCGAGCGAGCGGCGGACGGGUGAGCAAUGUAUGGGGAUCUGACCGAUGGAGGGGGAUAACUAAGGGAAACGGUGGCUAAUACCGCAUAGUAUCGGAUGAACCCAUAUGGGAUUAUCUUGUGGGUGGGGUAAAGGCUCACCAGGCGACGAUCUCUAGCUGGUCUGAGAGGAUGAUCAGCCACACUGGGACUGAGACACGGCCCAGACUCCUACGGGAGGCAGCAGUGGGGAAUAUUGCACAAUGGGCGCAAGCCUGAUGCAGCCAUGCCGCGUGUAUGAAGAAGGCCUUCGGGUUGUAAAGCACUUUCAGCGGGGAGGCGUUACCCGCAGAAGAAGCACCGGCUAACUCCGUGCCAGCAGCCGCGGUAAUUC